GAGGUAGAAGCCUCUUGACUCUUGGGAUUGAAAGGAGACCAGUCACCCCUCCUGGGAGGACUCUCCCACCCAUCCUCCCUUACAUAGUAACCUCCCAGCCCUAGAGGAGCUACAAGCAAAGAGAAUUGGAGAAGCUCAUCCAAGCAGUCCUAAGUACCUUGCUUCCAUGCAGGGCUUUGCAGGAAGAGGAAGGGAGGCAGGGAAGGGUACGGUGACAGCUGUAGACAUCACCUGCAGCUCUGCUCCCCAGCCAGGAACCCAGGAGGCCCUCCCAGACCCCCAGAAUGGGGUUCUGGGGUAGGCAAAUCAUUUGCCAUCUAUCCUCCUCACACCUGAGUAUUCUAGGAUGGGCCUCCAGCCCUUUCCAGGCUAACUCAGCGAACCCAGCCUUCUUAGUCAACGGAGAGACAUGUCUACAGAACAGACCAUGUGGCCAACUCCUCCUCCUCCCCCUGCCCCAGGCAAGAGGACUCUGAGAAGACAUCCAGGAGGCAAGGAGUCUGUAGCCAGGACAGAGAGAGAGGAACUGUGGGGGUCUGUACAGGCCACUCCCUUGGCCAUCUGAGGUAUUUGGCUUCUAUCAAAAGGGCUUUCUGAAGCCCAAUCCAACUUGGAGAAUACUUCUAGUAUUUCUUUCAUAAUCCUGUGGACAGACAGAAAGUCCCCAGGAGCUGAGAUGACUGCUGGAUGUGCAAGAGGACCCAUCCUCCAUUUUCAUCCCCUCUUCACAUCCCUCCACCCACAGCUGCCUUCAGAAGCCCAAGGUCUUUGGCCCUGCCACUCUGGUUUGCCAACUCCUCAAGGACCACAUAGGCCCAACUGUUAUGGAAAGGGUGGACCAGAGAGAGGGGCUUCUUUUCCUUCAGGCUUUGGGGAAGGCAAAGGCAAGUCCUGCCACUGCCCACUCCAGAGACAGCCGCAUCUUCCAGGUGACUAAAGGCACGUGAUGGUUCUGAGGAGACCAGGACUGUGGGGAGCUCCUGGGCUCAGUGGGGGGAGCUCCUGGGCUCCGGGAGAGCCCCAGAUGCCGCUCCCCUCUUCAGCUGCAUGGCAGAGCAGGGGUUAACGGGGAGAGGCUGCAAGGCUGGAGCUGCGAGGCUGGAGCAGGCGGUGGCUCCCGCCUCCUCACCACCCCCCCUCAAGAGUUGCUGACUCUUCCUUUUUGUUCGGGCUGACAGCGAGCACCUGGUGUGCUCCUGCAACAAUAUUGUUCCUGCCUCCCUCCCCCCAGGCCCCAGGCUCCCUUCCCUCUCCCCCUCCCCACCCGCCGGCAACCUUCCCCUCUGCCUCCUCUUUCCCUUGCCCCCUCCUGCCUGUGGCCUCCUAGGCACCCCCCUACCACAACCACCACAAGCACCACCGACCCUGCAGUGUCAAUAAACACAACAUAUGCUGCCAUUAAUGUGAAAAUCGUGCCCUCUACCCCAUUCAUCUCCUCAGCCUGCCCGCCCGGGGGUGGGGGUGGGGGGUGGAGGAAAGAAAGGUCAAGUGGGAAGCAUUAACUACCCUCUUUUUCCGAUCUGCUCAGUCCCCCCCCCCCACCCCCAGACUGGAGAGAGGAAGAGGAAUUGGAGGAGAAGGGAUGGGAUAAGCGUGGGGGUUUUCUGAGACCCACAUUCUCUCCGACAUGCCCACAGAGCCUCCCUACAGGAAAACAGAUGAGGAAAUGGGCCACACAAGUCACACAACAUAUCCAAGUUCAUACCAGCUAAGAAGUGACAGAAUCAGGCCGGGCGCGGUGGCUCAUGCCUGUAAUCCCAGCACUUUGGGAGGCCGAGGUGGGCAGAUCACCUGAGGUCAGAAGUUCAAGACCAGCCUGGCCAAUAUGAUGAAAGCCCUGUCUCUACUAAAAAUACAAAAAAAAAAAUAGCCAGGUGUGGUGGCGUAUGCCUGUAGUCCCAGCCACUGGGGAAGCUGAAGCAGGAGAAUCACUUGAACCCAGGAAGCAGAGGUUGCAGUGAGCAGAGAUCACACCAUUGCACUCCAGCCUGGGCAACACAGCGUGACUCCGUCUCAAAAAAAAAGAAAAAAAAGAAGUAACAGAAUCGGGCUUCAAACUCAGGACUCUGUUUGCAGAACCUACAACUUAACCAUUUUGCUAAGCUGUCUGUAUGGAUCUCUCUGGGUUGUUACUGGAGUCUAGUUAAACAGGUAGGCUUAGUUCUGGGAUCCUUUGGCCCUCAAUCUCCCAGGCUACAGAAUGGGCCUGCUGUGGCCUGUCAUCUCAUAUCAGAGCCAGCGAGCCAGCUGGAAAGAAAGGACACGGGUCAAGGCAAGCCCAGUCUAGCUCUGCGGAGGCCAGCAGAGGGGGCUACUGUCCUGAGGUCAAGUGGUGGGAGAGGGAAGCUUAGAGAGGCCCAUCUCAGGAGAGCAAAGGUGCCGAUUAUCCUGUAGUGGUGGGCACCUACCCGUGCAGCCCCCCUGGACAUCUAUGGGGUAGCAGUUCCAGCAGGGGCUGUCCCUCCAGGGAGAGGGGGCAGAGCUAGCAGCACUGAACUGUCCUAAGUGUGCUGGGCUCUGCAGAGGGCCUUUCUGUCCUACACCCCCUCAGCCCUACCUAGAAAGAACCUGUCUCACUGCUCCAUUGGUCCCACACCAGGAUUCCCACACCACCAAGCUGACCCCUUCCCUGCCUCUACUCCACACCACACUCCAGCCUCUCAGGGUCUUCUAACCGCCCCCUUAUCUUGUCCAAGGUGUGAAUAAGUCCUUGUUUACCUUAAUUCUGCUAACACCAAGAGGGAGACUUUUCCAAAGGCUCUGUACUACAAAACUGAAGGAAAGACUAGGAGAGCCAACACUUAUGUUACCAUGGCCAGGCCCUGUUCGAAGGACUUUUUUCCUAAGAUUUGCACAACAAUCCUAAGAGAUAGGUACCCCUAUCCUACAGAUGGAGGAAAGGAGGGCCUGAGAAUUCAUAAACUUUAGCUGGUGAAUGGCACAGCUGGGAUUUUGAUCCAGGCAGUAUAUGCUUAUGCAACACUACUUUCUCCAAAGCAAAAAAAUAAAUAAAUAAACCUUAAA